CCCCCUCUUCCCUGCGGUGCGUGUUGUUUGGGUGGACAAAGAAGAAGGAAAGAAGGAGAAGAAGAGGGAGGAAGUUCCUCCCUCUUCCUGUGUGCGCGUGAGUGGGUGGGAAAAAGAGGAAAAGCAAAGAAGGGAAAAGAAGUAGCCGAGAAAGAAAGGGCAAAAAAACAGAGAGAAAAAAAGAGGGGAAAAUCUCUCUCUCUAUCCCUUUCUCUCUCCCGUGUUUCCCUCUCUCCCCAGCCCAUCUCUCUCUCUCCCCACAUCCUCAACCCUUCUCCCAUGGUGUGUGUCUGUGUGUGUGAGUCAGUGGAAAAGAAAAAGGUCUUAGCUGCAUCAUGUUUAUAUGUCGGGAUCUUCCACCCAUAUCUAUUGGAGAAGUAAAGACAACAGAUAAUGCUCUUUGCUUAGAGCUGAGAGUAUCAUCGAGGGCGAGGCUACGAGAUGGCUUAAAAGUUCUUGGAUCGGUUGGAUUUUACUGCUGUGAAAGGUCAUAGGCGAAAAAGGUGGGAAAAUGAAAAUGAAUGGAAGACCUUGAAUAGGGAAACCUCGAACGGAGCUCCCAUAGAAACACUCCAAAACCUAGCCCAAAACUAACUUCUCAAAUCUCACUUUCGACAUGGCAAGUAAUUCUAUCUCUGAUGGCUCUCAUGCUUUUCGUAGUGAGAUGAGUUGUUAUCUUUAAAGUUUCUUUUGUCAUGGAGGCUUGUAAACUUGUGCCACCAUUUGAUCUUAUGUAUUUCUGUCAAGCUUCUAUGAAAUAAUAUUUGAUGUAUUUCUGUCAAA